rnacentral:tRNA from 1 species
GUGGCUGUAGUUUAGUUGUUAGAAUUCUGCAUUAUGGAUGUAGAGACCUGGGCUCAAAUCCCAGCAGCUCACA